rnacentral:rRNA from 1 species
UACAGAGGGUGCAAGCGUUGUUCGGAAUUAUUGGGCGUAAAGCGCGUGUAGGCGGUCUUGCAAGUCGGAUGUGAAAGCCCUGGGCUCAACCCAGGAAGUGCAUUCGAUACUCCAAGGCUAGAGUACUGGAGGGGUGGGUGGAAUUCUCGGUGUAGAGGUGAAAUUCGUAGAUAUCGGGAGGAACACCGGCGGCGAAGGCGGCCCACUGGACAGAUACUGACGCUGAGACUCGAAAGCGUGGGGAGCAAACAGG